rnacentral:rRNA from 1 species
CACGCAGGCGGUCCUGUCAGUCAGAUGUGAAAGCCCGGGGCUCAACCCCGGACGUGCAUUUGAAACAGCAGGACUUGAGUAUGGGAGAGGAAAGGGGAAUUCCUGGUGUAGAGGUGAAAUUCGUAGAUAUCAGGAGGAACACCGGUGGCGAAGGCGCCUUUCUGGACCAAUACUGACGCUGAGGUGCGAAGGCGUGGGGAGCGAACAGGAUUAGAUACCCUGGUAGUC